UUCCACAUCAGGUGUUCCAUUUUCUUAUCUGCGUAGGACGUAGGUUAACAUUUUCUGCACAGAUCUUUUUUAUUUAAGCAUAAUAUGUCCUUUGAGUUGUGAAUGUAUAAAAAUAUAUAUUUAAUUGGUAUGCUAUUGAUACGUUUUAUGUUCGCCUCUGAGUCAAAAGGGCACUUUAGAGUGGGAGAAAUGAAAGGCACCCGCUUCUCAAAAUAAUGCGCAGCCAACAACAUUAAGAGGAGGCAGCUGAAGCUAACAUCCCUGAGCUGAAGACACUAAGCUAAGAGAAAGAGAUAGAAGGAAAGAGAGAGAGAAAGCUAGAGACACAAGAGAGCAGACACUAAAACGGCUGGCAGCCGGAGGAGAGGGGAGGCUCAAAGCCUGAGGAGACGUCUUUUGCAUAAUGACAUGUUACUUCUCGUUUUGCGCUUCCAUGGCCCAGGCCUCAUAAGUGCUGCAUCUGUUUACAAGCACACCACUUUUCCAAGGAGCGCCCAUCUAUUCGACAUUCAUGAGAGAUCUCUUAAGAGUCCCCAGCUGGAAAAAUUGAGACAAGGAAAAAAAAAAACAAAGCAAACAAAAGACCCCCUAAUCCAUCUUUGCUGAUCUCUUUCAUAUUAUGUUUUCAGAUUUGAUUGAGAGCCAAAAAUGAAAAGAAAAAACAAAAAAAUCAACAACAGCUCAACAGCUUCCAGCGCUGACAGAAAUAGAGCUGUAUUCUGAACAUGACAUCUGCUUUUGGUUUUGGUAUUGUUGCUUGAGUGGUCCGGUUUCUGUCACUUGAAUGCUUAAUUUUCUUUGCUUCUUGUUAUAUGCCCAGUGUCUGAAGGCUCAGCUGUUCUCCAGACCAAUUCAUGACAAGUGGCACAGGAGACGAGACAACCGACAGCUAAAAAAGAGGCAAUGUGGGCAGUAGUCAUCUGAUCCAUGAGUCACAUUGACAUUACAACAAGCAAUGACCAAGUCACUGGCUGCUGGAGAGACUCCACAUCCUUUCCUGUCCCUCCCAAAAGCAAUAAAUACAGUAGCUUUGCACACGUUUCAGAGAAAAGAACAGCUUAUCUUACAAUGGAGCUUAGAGGAAAUACGUCUGGAAAGAUUUCUGCAUAUUUCAGUUUUCAUCUUUGGACGAGCUGAUUGUUACCUCUCCAUCUACCUAUUGAGUCAGGUUUAUCAUUUGCUCCAGUGUGUUCGGUCAUUUUCACUGUAUUGUUAUUUUUGGACUAAAAGUUUUAGAAACCAAGCCACCACAUUCUGUCACAAAUAUUAAGUGCCACAUAUAUAUAUAUAUAUUUUAAUAACUAAACAUAUUUUAUUGGAAGACAAGACAAAAAUACUAAUUAUUAUAAUUUUUUUGCAGUGCAACAAAAAGGCUGACUUGCCACUUCUUAUCCUAUUGUGAGAAGAAAAAUAACUUAAAAUAAAAUAUCUCCUCGAGACAUACCCCCUUGUCUCCUCAUUAGCCUGCUGUGGAUGAACACCACGUCUCUUCCUUAGAAACAAUGCUUGGUCCUGUGGUCACCCCAAUGGUUGCCUUAAUUUGCUGUGGCCGGGGAUAGGAUGGCCUCUGUGGUCCAGUUGAAAGACAUCGGCUGAAAGGAGUGGACAGCGGUUUGGGUCUGUUAGAUUGCAUUCUGUCCUUUUGUGCUUGCUUUUCACUUUCCUUCUGAUUGGCUUUGUUGCUAUAUGAAGAUUGGUGAAAUAGAAAAAGUCAAAACACAAUAGUUGAACUGAAAUGCGACAGAAUAUGCACAUUUUACAUUGCUCAUAAAGGUAAAACUUUGGCAUGUUUGUACAAUACCUCAAAAAUAAAAUAAAUGGCAAAUAUACAUAAAAAUAAUUGAGUAUGUAUUAACUUUAAACAGUUUUAAACUAUAAAUUUAAAUAUUCUGUGCAAAUGAUUUUUUUUUUUUAAAUGAGAAAGGCUAGUUUUUCUUCAUAGUAUAAUCUAAAUGACAACAAACUGACAGGUGUGUAAUUUUUUGGAUUCAUAAUUAUAGACUUACACUUUAAGUGUAACAAUAAAACAGUUGUGAAACCAGAGUUCAUUUCAGACAACUGCCAAAUAUGAGAAAGUUUUAUUUGGCUGAACUUUUAGCUUUUUUGAUGUUCGCACCUGCUUUGUAAUUUUCACAGGUGUGUGCUUUUUUGCCUCAAAAACCUGUUCAAGCACUCUUGAAGACUACUCUUAAUAACAGCUGAGCAGAUCUGAUUAAAGCCUGUUUUUGUCUGAUUAAAACCUGUUAUUGUCUGCACUCUUGAACCUUUAAACAGUACUGGCAAGUUGUGUAAUUUUUCAUUCUUUUUUUUUUCUGCAUACAGACGGAACUAACAACCAGAAUACAAUGCGAGUCUGGUGAUGAGCACUUUGGAAAAACAUCACGUCCCAUCAUUCCCUAUCAAUUGAUGUGACCAGCAUGUCUUUAGGACCAUCUCGCUGCUGGGACAGACUACUGGAGACAAAAGUUGGCCCACUUAGAUCUGCCUUAAAGAAAGUUCUUGGCCAGACAGAGCUAUUGAUUUGAUGUGAUUUUCUUUUCUCUCUCCGCUGCCAUUCCCCAGGAGCACUGAAGAAUCCAAAGGGGGUGCGUACUCAAUCUCUCAUCCCUUUGCACUCUUCCUCUGUCACUCUUUCAUUCAUUGUCAGUCCUUCUCUCACUCAUGUGUGGACAGGGGGUUUCCAAACCUCUCGUUCUUCCUAGCAUUUCAUCCCAGGCUUAUUUAUUUAUGGUUUCAGCGAGCUGACAAACGCAGGUGGUUUGUAUGAAGCUCUGAUGUCCCCUGGUACCACACACUCAUUGUUUGCAUAAAAAUCACCAGAGACUGCCAAACCAGAAACGGUGAACCAAAAGCAGUUCUUCCUGUGCACUUGGGUCAGUUCCUGAAAAGAAGAAGAAAACAUUUUUGCUAGGUUCUAAAGGUCUCUGUCUGUCUUAUAGUUUCGUAAUGAAAUUUGGUCUAGCUAUAAGAUGAGAGAGCGUCCAGUAUCAAAGGAAGUGUAGUGAAGAAGCCAGGAUUCAUUAAAUCCCACAAGGACAAUAGGCCCUAUUGACAUCAAACUGAUCAUGACCUUGACUCAUAAUUCAAAUAAUAAUUAAAAUUCAUUAAAUCUACAGUAAUAUUGUGGCCAACACAGUAAUAUAUCCAGGGAAAUGUCCCUCCAGCAACACAAAAUUUAGACAAAUAGCAGCCAAAUGAAAGAUUCUGAAUACCUUUCUUUGACUCAUGCUAAACACAGUUUUCAAUAAACCCUGUUGGAAGAUCCAAAAACUAAAUUCUCAAACUGGGGAGAGGAAAUGUCAAGUCCUAAUUAAUUUAUCUUUUUCCAACAGAUGAAAAGCAAAUAUGAGAAUUUAUUCAGAUGAUUGCUUGUUUGUAAGUAUGCAAAAAAUCAGACUACCUCAACCAAGGUCAAUGUAUUCAGCUUCUGAAUGGCCUCAACUGCAUUUUAUUUAUGUUUUCACUAUAGCAACAUCUUCAUUAUGAGUUUCAGUCACCUAUAGACUAUAUAAUAUCAGAAAGCUAGAUUUUAUGGCUGCAAUUGAAAAGAAAAUAUUAAUUCGUGGAACAUCCUGUAGUUUCAUAAAUGCUCUUAAUUAAUGAGCAUCUCUCAGAUUUGAUAUUGCAUUUUUCUGUUAUGGUGAAGUAAACGGUUACACUUGUUGAUGGUCCGCUUUGGACAUUCUACUAACUAGGUGACUUUGCAACUUGUCAACUCACUCUCAUUAGAGUAUUAGUAGACUAGACUGUUAGGUUAGGAUUAGUUGUUAGGGUUUGGGUUUGUAGAAUAAGUUGACAUGUACUGUGAAUAGGAAAGCUACUUCAAUAGAAUGUCUGUUGGGGGACCAUCAAAAUAAAGUGUUAGGAGAUAUUAGGCAGACAAACUACAAAUAAUAACGUCUGGUAUUUGACAUGCAGUUGCAAAGUUACUUAGUAGAAUGUUUAAAGUGGAUUAUUUUAACCAGUACAUUGCAAAAGCAUUUCUAGACAGAUUUGAACUCUGAUUUCCUAAAGAUAGAGAGGCAGCCUUGUGAGCUAAAAACCAUGAAAAUAAAGAGAGGUAUUUCAUAUUAAAAUUCUGUCUUGUGUUCCUUUGUUAGCAGUGAUGACUAAGGUUAGUGCAUUAUUGAAAGAUUAAAAGUUUAUGAAUAGACUGAAAAUGUGGCUAUUGUGCUGAAAUGAACUCAAAUGAGAUUGCACAGUCAGACGGUGACAGCCAGCUGCAAGCGUAUUAAAACUUUCUGGCAAUGACAAGUUUUUCAUAAAUCUCUUAAAUGUUCUUUUUAAUCACGGGUGAAAAGCUAUGUACCUUUAUCUCUUUUAAAUGUAAUGAAAUAAAGCACAAGUCAUUUUGCUUUCUGAAUAUUCAGUCCAUGGAAAACAGUGGCAUAUUUGUC